rnacentral:lncRNA from 1 species
UGAUGGUGGCGUCAUCGCCGGGUCUAACCCAAGCGGUGUUGGGGAGGGGUUUCGUAUUGUGUGCGAUGUGAGGAACGUCGGUUGUUAGGAUAUCGGUGUCGUGUGUCGGGUGGGAGAGUGUCGGCCGGUGAUUAUAAACGUAUUUGCUACUCUUGAUGGCUUCGGCCAGCUGAUUAAACACAAUACCACUAAGAUCGAUGAGGCCUUGCGUGCGCGGGCAGAGUGCGUGUUGGUUGGUUAGGGGUGUCGGGUUGCUGAUGAUGAAGAAGCAUGUAUCAACUUUGUUACUGAAUCCGGUUGUGGAUGGGGAUGUAACAUCUUAUCUUCUCUCUGAGGCAAGGUGCUGCGGCAGUAGUUUUGAAGUAGUGUAUGGACGCUGGCGUGGUAUACGUAGGAUCGAUGCACAAUGCACCCCGGGCAGCUCUGAUUUGAGAGGAUGAAUCGGCCCUAAGCAUGUGCUAGAGAUGCAUGUGUGAAGCUCUUGCCGGUUGCGAAGCCGGUGGAGAGUGACACUGGGUCUGUCUCGUGUUACUUGCCUUAUGUGAUUCUCCAUACUGCAAGCGUCAAAAUGAGCAGAUACAUUUAUGCUGAGAAGUAGUUUGGGGGGUGGUGGCGUGUGAUGGGAGGGUAGGGGGAAGUUGAGUGGGUGUGGGAGUGAGAAGUGUGGAGGGUUGGGGGAGGGCAGGUGAGUUCUCCGUGAUGACGAUUUAUAGAUGACGAAUCUGAGCUUAAGGCGCAGGCGAAGGUCAGUGGAUCCGCGUAUGCGAUGUCUUAUCGCAUGCGUGCGUGAGGCUGCCGGAGGCUGCGAACCGCUGGGUUGCCAGUUGCUCUGAAGCACAAACGAGGCAUUUGUCUGAGAGGAUGAUACAAGUGUGUGGGAUUUCUGAGCUGGGGCGGGGCGGUGGGGGGGGAAGUCUGUAGGGGCACAGCCUGAUGAUGCAGUCUAUAAUCUUUGAGACCUGAUUGCCGUGUGGCAGUGUUGAGAAACAGCAGACCCUGAAGGCUUGGGUAGAAGGUGGGGUGGAUGUGGUAUAGGGAGGAGUGGAUGGGAAAUGUGGAUGACGGUGAAGAUAUUACAUGCAGUCAAUACGCUGCGGAGGUCUAGCUUUGGUGCGAUGGGCUAGAAGUGACGGCUGACAUGUUCCCUGCGAGCAGAGAGAAAUAUGCGCUGAGAUUGGAUUGAGGGCCUCAUCUCUAAAGCAGAGCAUAAGAGCGGCCGGGCUUGAAACUUCAGGGCAGCGGCUUUGAAAUGCUUUGAGGUGCAGGCAGAAGUGAUGAGAACCCCUCCGGGAUCCAGUGAUGCUGGGUGAGCUGAGAGCCUCGAAAGGGUUGCAGAUAUCUAUUCUGUCCUCGUUGCAAAUGGGUGAUGAUGAUUACUACAGGUCAUCUGAGCACGCCAACGAGGUUCUAUGUUUGAAUAGUCAGUUUUGUACAUUACAUCAACAGAAUCGAUCACUGCCGUAGAAGCAAGUAUAGUUUACAGUAUGACAAAGGAAUACUACCUGUUGAAAGUGUAAAUGAAGGGGAGUGUCGGUCUGAAUAUUUUCAGAUUACUUUAUACUAACUUUUCAGCCUGGAACCAAAGUGGAGGAUAUUGCUCAUUGAACUUAUUCUGGACCAGGAUGAGGGAAACGUGCUAGUUUCCGUCUUUGCUGCAGACGCACAUUGAGAGCGUACAUGGUGACUUCUCUAAAUUGCAUGAUACCUAGCUCAGUUUUAUCUGGGUGUGUCUGUCAUAAAUGUCUUUCGUUUGUGAAUUCCACACAGAAACGUCUAGGUUGCUUGAUUACGGGAUAUAACACAGAUUCUUCGCCAGUCACCCAAGCAAUAUGCGUAGAACCUGGUUGUGGGGAAGUUUUUGAUAGUCUCUCUUAGAUAAAAGCCCAUGUCAUGUGAAGGUUGUAUACUAUUAUGUUGUGAAAUUUGUGGCGUACUUAUGUUGAAAAACAAACACUAAACCCUAAACACAUGAAGGAGUGGAGACCUUGAUUCGGUGUCCAAACCCUGGUUGCUUGCAUAGUUGCACCAAGCUAUAUGCAGGAUGAGGUUUGUGUACCUGUUUUUCUGUUCGAUAUUUUUUAAAGGUUGUCCAUGUGAUGAAUAAUACAGUGGAGUUAUAAUACCGCAGAGUAUAGUUGCAUAAUUUCAGAGAUAUUUUUGUAGGGGUUGUCUUCACAGAAAUUUGUUCGUAAGGUUCAUUUCGUAAGAUCGAAGUGGGAGGCAUGUGGUAGAAUAAUUGCAGUGGCUGGGAAAGUUUUUAUAAAUCACUUUUCAGUGCGGCGGUGUCGACGCAAUGAGGAACGGUGGGUGGAAUGGAGAGUAAUGGAGAGUGUUCAGGUGCGAUGGAAACGGGUGUAAAACGGACAGGCGGUUGAAGGUGGGACAUCGGAAGAAGGCUUCUACCGCGGGGAUGUAGCUCAGAUGGUAGAGCGCUCGCUUAGCAUGCGAGAGGUAUGGGGAUCGAUACCCCACUUCUCCACAGCUUCUAUAGCUCAGUUGGCUAGAGCACCCGUUUAGUAAGCGGGAGGUCCUGAGUUCAACUCUCAGUGGAAGCAUCGAGAGCUCUUUUGUCAGCAAGGAGGGAGUUAAAAAUGAAAACUAGAGUUUUAUUCAGGGUGCACCUCGCGUCUCGCCAGUGCAGAUCCGUCCUCCCUCCGCACUCACCCACACUUCAUCACCUCCACCCACCGCAUUUCCGCUUCUUACAUGCUUUCCGCUGCACGUCGAAGUGUUCAUUGGAAAACCCACUGGCUGAAUGGCCGAACAUUUUAAGGAAAUUUUCUCGUGUUGAUUUUGUGCUUCUGUGAACUGUGGAGUGUAUGCAUGGCUGCCAGCAUUUGUUCUCAGUUUUUUUAGACUUCUCAACGAGUGUCCAAUUACUUGUGUUUUUCAUGAUUCAUGAAGAACUGGGGGUAGUCACUACAGUUAUGGAGUAAUUGUUGCAUUUUUUAAAAACCUUUGUUUAUAAUAUGUUUGUAAUUCUUUUCCAUCUUUCGCUUCAUUUGUAUCUUUUCUUUCUUUUUAUUCUUUUCCCGUUUUUGAUCUUCUGCGUAUCCUACUUGUAACGAUUCUUUCGUUCAUUUCAUGACACAAGUGAAGCAGUGCAACUCGCUGACCGCGCCACUCAUUUACAUGGGUAAUACCGUGAACAGUCUAAGAAAGUGGGUGAGUAGAGAAGCUUAUGAGCAUCCCGGCGGAAUGUCCCCAGUUCAAGUGACAUACAAUCGGAUCAGUUCCCAGAUGGUCGUUGGAACACCCCAGCACAUCUGCCGACCCUUUGGAGAUAGAUAAACAACAUUGCACGCUGUGAAGCACACGACCAAAGCUAAUACGCGCUGAUCCAGAAGGUAGACAAUCCCGCACAAUGGAUUCAAACUAUUGCCCCCAAUCAAAUAGUAGCUCACUGACAUUUCAGAAUAUUACUUGAUAUUUCACCAAAUCACCUACCUCGCGUGGUGGUUGAUUUCGAAAUAUCGAAAGAGUACCACAUUGGCUCAGCUCUCUUUCCUCUUUGAUUCCAUACCACACUGCCUAACACCAAAGUUUGAACAAUGAUAUUUAAGAUUUGAUAAUUCAAGAGAUCCUAGAAAUAUCAGGUGCCGAAAUCCAAUUACUGGGUUAUGCAAAAGUGCGGAGCCUGAACGUUCUAAUUUAUUAGUAGAUAUGUUCUAAAUAACUGUCAAAAGAAUAUCAACAUGUGUAAAUCUAAUUAACUUUACUUAGGAAUACACAUGAUAAUUCUCACAAGCAUGGGGCCUGUAGCAGCUGUAUUGGCACCAUCACAACACAUCGAGCUCAUGGAGAUUCCAAUCUAGCGUAGCAGUGUCAACCAGAGGGGCCAAGCAGACGUACUUGUGCACCUGCAAGGAAUAAAAUAAUGUUCACCUUAAAGAUUGCAGGAUAGAGAUGUAUUAACUUCGAGAGAUGACAAAAUUUGUGGAUUAUACUUCAUGGCAAAAUAAGUUAUUCUACCGAAACUGUUUCAAAGUGAGCAUACAGAACGUUGUAAUUGUGGUAUCUGCAGCAGAUCUAAUACAAGAUUCAUAAGAUUGAAGUCUGCUUGGUCUGAGCCACCACAACGACUUCAGCCAGGGGAGAACUGAAGUCAGUUACUGGAAAGCGUUACAAACUGUGUUAAAAACUGUUGCAACCCUUUCGAGGCUCUUAGCUCACCCAGCAUCACUGGGUCCUGGAGGGGUUCUCAUCACUUCUGCCUGCACCUCAAAGCAUUUCAAAGCCGCUGCCCUGAAGUUUCAAGCCCGGCCGCUCUUAUGCUCUGCUUUAGAGAUGAGGCCCUCAAUCCAAUCUCAGCGCAUAUUUCUCUCUGCUCGCAGGGAACAUGUCAGCCGUCACUUCUAGCCCAUCGCACCAAAGCUAGACCUCCGCAGCGUAUUGACUGCAUGUAAUAUCUUCACCGUCAUCCACAUUUCCCAUCCACUCCUCCCUAUACCACAUCCACCCCACCUUCUACCCAAGCCUUCAGGGUCUGCUGUUUCUCAACACUGCCACACGGCAAUCAGGUCUCAAAGAUUAUAGACUGCAUCAUCAGGCUGUGCCCCUACAGACUUCCCCCCCCACCGCCCCGCCCCAGCUCAGAAAUCCCACACACUUGUAUCAUCCUCUCAGACAAAUGCCUCGUUUGUGCUUCAGAGCAACUGGCAACCCAGCGGUUCGCAGCCUCCGGCAGCCUCACGCACGCAUGCGAUAAGACAUCGCAUACGCGGAUCCACUGACCUUCGCCUGCGCCUUAAGCUCAGAUUCGUCAUCUAUAAAUCGUCAUCACGGAGAACUCACCUGCCCUCCCCCAACCCUCCACACUUCUCACUCCCACACCCACUCAACUUCCCCCUACCCUCCCAUCAUACGCCACCACCCCCCAAACUACUUCUCAGCAUAAAUGUAUCUGCUCAUUUUGACGCUUGCAGUAUGGAGAAUCACAUAAGGCAAGUAACACGAGACAGACCCAGUGUCACUCUCCACCGGCUUCGCAACCGGCAAGAGCUUCACACAUGCAUCUCUAGCACAUGCUUAGGGCCGAUUCAUCCUCUCAAAUCAGAGCUGCCCGGGGUGCAUUGUGCAUCGAUCCUACGUAUACCACGCCAGCGUCCAUACACUACUUCAAAACUACUGCCGCAGCACCUUGCCUCAGAGAGAAGAUAAGAUGUUACAUCCCCACCCACAACCGGAUUCAGUAACAAAGUUGAUACAUGCUUCUUCAUCAUCAGCAACCAGAUUACAUAGCAGAGUCGAAGAGGAAAUUUCAAAUUCUCAUGCUCGGAGUUUUCGAUAUACACGAUUCUUAUCAGGGAGAAACAAUCCUAACCCAUCGGAAUCGUGGUGAUUUCUAUCUCCAAAGAUUUAGGUAAUUGGCAAUCUGUGUGGGAUUUCACACGGAACACAGUUUAUGAGCUAUAGAAGUCCACGUAUAAAUGUGGAAAACCCCGUGCAUGCCAAUCACCCUUAUUUCCAAGUCCACUGGCAAAAUUGAUACUGCGCGACUGAUAACCGUACCAUGUUCGAAUCCACUGGUAAAUUCUACCUUUCCACCUCAACGGUGUUGUGUAGAAAGGUACAUACUGACAGACUCGUUUUAAGUGAAUCUGUCACCACUGACUAUAUUUCUGUGCCUCGACAGAACCAAGUUCGAUCGUGUGGUCCUUGACUUUACCAUUGUCUCUAUAGUCUCAGACGUCCAAGGAAGGUUUGGAAGCUGCAUUAGCUCUCUAGUCCCGCAAGACGAAAGCUUUAGGCGGCCACUGCGAAUGUUUAGGAAACAAGCCUAGGAUUCUUCAUCAUCGACCUCCACUCUCCCCUCUCUGUCUCCCCAUUCAACCAGGUGUUCGUUCAGAUCAGCGGGUUAACUAUCAUAUGGGAUGCGAAAUUAUAUUUCUGUCCCCGUAUCAAGUCUGUUGAGCUUGACGAAAUUUUCUUGUCGUCACCGCGAAACACCCCUCGCACCUCUCCUACACUGCAACUCCCAAGCUCAGUUCUUCACCAGUUUCUCAUUCACAAAUUCUCAGUAGCAGAACUGGCUUAUACUGGUAUUUCGAUCAUCACUGCUUCGACACUCUACUCGCAAAUCCGCCCCAAAAACAAGCAUCGAUACAUGUGGGGCCAAUGCCCGAUUGUUAAUCCAGACAUGUGCGUCUGCCUAACUGCCCACUCGCCCAACCACUCUAGCAAUCCACCAUUCAACUUCCAGUGCAAAGAUAAAGAGCACACACCGUGUUGUACACACGGGAUUGAGCUACAUCGAUAACGAGGAACAACCAAUUCUGGCUCAGACUUCCCAGACUACGGAGCAAGGUUUGAGUAGCUUCGUAAGCUAUAACGGACAGUGCCAGCUACAACUGUGAGUUAUAGAAAAAUCGCAUACAUACCAACCAAUCCGCAAAUACAAGAACCUUACAACACCAGUCCGACCCCUAAAACUACAAUUCUGCGCUUAGUAGCACUCAGGUAAAGCUGAAGAUGACCAAGUGAGCAAGACAACUAACUGAUCAAUGGAGAUAUCGCAGUCGGCACGGAAGCAUAUGUACACGCAUUCGAAAGACGAUUUGCAUCUCCGAAGCUGAAUUGUAACACAGACGGCCAGCAAAGCCCUAAUUCUGAAUGAAACCCUAAAAAAGAAUGAAUGCUGGAGAAAUGCAAAGUGGGGUGGAUGGAUGGAUAGACAUCUAGGCCGUUGUUCUAACAAAUGUUCGUAAUUGGAUGAAGUGUUAUAGUAACGACGUCCAUCCAAACCUCCGUGCUGGCAGCAAGUCAUAGCAGUGUGCUGCCCGCUAGAUGUCCAGACUUGGUCUGCCCCUUGCACAUGAUUUUCCAUUUCUGCCCGACUAUAUUUUGUAGGUAUCCCAGGGGUUGGAGGUCAGAACUGUUUACAAAUUAUUUAUUAUUCACAAAUUAAAUAUAAAUUAAUAUUUUAUUUUAAUAUUAAAUAUUAAUGAUAUUUUUGUACAAUUAUUAAUACUUUUUUGUAUUCUUAUACUGAGUGAAUUUUGAAAUAUAACUAGUGUAACAAUAUUUUUAUUUUAUUCUUUAUUUACUUCUAAAAAAUGAUUUUUUUUUUUUAUAAUUUAGUAGGUUAUUGAAUUUUAAAAUAAAAAAAUUCCAGUAAUAACAAAUCAAGGUUUGAAAUGUCUUGUCUCACAAAAAAGAUACGAUGUUUUGUUUCUUCAAGUUUUCUAUCAACAGUAUAAGUAAGUAAUUUAAUAAUAAAUUGAUUUUUUUAUGGAGAUGACGAAAAACAAAAUUAAAAAAAAUACUUGAAAAUAAAACAAAUCCAUAUAUUUAAAUAAUUUUGAAUUUUAAUUUUAAAAUUAAAAUCUUAAAAACCAUAGUUUUAUUGUUUUAAAAUACUUACAAUGCUUUAAAUCAUAUAUAAGUACUUUAAUUUAAAGAAGGUUCUCAACAAAGUUUUGAACACCUAUAAAGAAACUAUGAAUGAACAAGAUUAAAAAUAAACUAAAAUUAAGAGAAAGAAAAUAAAAUAAAAUAAAAAAUAAUGACAACAAUGUACAAAUUUGUAGAUUAUAUUGUAAAAGUGUGGUAAUACAUUCUUAUUUUUUUUUUACAUAAAAAUAUGCAAUAAAAAUUAUGAAUUAUUAAUGCAACAUCUCCAAUUGAUAUUGAUACAUUCCAUGUGACCUCUUUGCCAACAACUAGCUAAUAUUAUGCUAAUAUUGUGCUUUUGUACAUUUUUCUCUUUCUUUGCUUUAAGAAAAGGAUGAUGGUUGAGAGAGAGAAAAAAACUUGUUUUUAAAAGAACAAGUUAUGAACUAUAAAUAUAUAUAUAUAUAUAUAUAUAAACUUGGAGUUGUUAAAGUCAAAUCUUCUUGGUCAUGUGAUGAUUAAUUGAGUCCAAUGUCACUCCACUCCAUGUGGUGUGCUCAGGACUCUGGCUCAAUGUGAAUGAGCAAGAUCAUCAUGCUAUGAAAUGUGUUUGCUGCUUUCAUCAGAGACUGAUGAUGCAGUCUAUAAUCUUUGAGACCUGAUUGCCGUGUGGCAGUGUUGAGAAACAGCAGACCCUGAAGGCUUGGGUAGAAGGUGGGGUGGAUGUGGUAUAGGGAGGAGUGGAUGGGAAAUGUGGAUGACGGUGAAGAUAUUACAUGCAGUCAAUACGCUGCGGAGGUCUAGCUU